GAUGAACGCUGGCGGCAUGCCUAAUACAUGCAAGUCGAACGAGAGGAAGGAAAGCUUGCUUUCCUGAAUCUAGUGGCGAACGGGUGAGUAACACGUAGGUAACCUGCCCCUGUGCCCGGGAUAACUUCUGGAAACGGAUGCUAAAACCGGAUAGGCAGCAGACAAGCAUUUGACUGCUAUUAAAGUGGCCUUGGCCACGAACAUGGAUGGCCCUGCGGUGCAUUGGGUAGUUGGUGAGGGAACGGCCGACCAAGGCGACGGUGCAUAGCCGGGCUGAGAGUGCGGACGGCCACAUUGGGACUGAGACACGGCCCAAACUCCUACGGGAGGCAGCAGUAGGGAAUUUUCGUCAAUGGGGGGGACCCUGAACGAGCAAUGCCGCGUGAGUGAGGAAGGUCUUCGGAUCGUAAAGCUCUGUUGUAAGAGAAAAACGGCACUCAUAGGGAAUGAUGAGUGAGUGAUGGUAUCUUACCAGAAAGUCACGGCUAACUACGUGCCAGCCGCCGCAGUAA
rnacentral:rRNA from 1 species